UACGAAGGGGGCUAGCGUUGCUCGGAAUUACUGGGCGUAAAGGGCGCGUAGGCGGCACUGUUAGUCAGGCGUGAAAGUCCUGGGCUCAACCUGGGAACUGCGCUUGAUACGGCAGAGCUAGAGGAUGGAAGAGGCUCGCGGAAUUCCCAGUGUAGAGGUGAAAUUCGUAGAUAUUGGGAAGAACACCGGUGGCGAAGGCGGCGAGUUGGUCCAUUACUGACGCUGAGGCGCGACAGCGUGGGGAGCAAACAGG
rnacentral:rRNA from 1 species